UGAUUAAAAUUAUCUUAAUUAAUUAUUUAUUUAAUGAUUUAUAAUUUAUAAAAUUAUUUAUUUAAAUAAUUGUUUUAGUAAAAAAAAGAAAAAAUUUUUAUAUUUAAAGAUUAUUAGUAUUGAAAAUUAAAGAUAAAUGAAAAAUUAUUUUAUUAAAGUUUAAGAAAUUUUUAAUUAGUGUACCUUUUGUAUCAGGGUUUAUUAAAAAAAAAAUAUAAAUAUUAUUUUUCUUGAAAAAUAAAAAUUUAAUUAAUAAUAAAUUUAUUGUGUUAUAAAUAUUUAUAAUUAUUAAUUGAAAAUGAUAAGUUAUUUGGUUUAUUUAAUAUCUAGUUUUUAAAAUUUAAUUUAAUUUUGUUAUUUAUUUAAUAAAUAUAUAAUUAUUAUAUAUUUAUAAUAAUGUAAUAAUAUUUAAAGGGAUAAGCUUUUAAAUGUUAAUUUAAAUAGAAAAAAAAAUAAAUUUAAAAUUUAUAUGAUUGAGAUUGAUUAUUAAAUUUAAGUUUUUAUAAAAAUUUUUAAUUUUUUAUUAUUUUUUUAUAGAUUAAAAUUUUAUAAAAAAAAUAAAUUUAAUUUUUAGAUUUAUGUUAUAAUGAUAAAAUUAGUAUAAUAGUAUUGUUUAAAUUAAUUAAUGAAUUAAGAUAAAUUAAAAAAAUUCGGCAAAAUAAUUUUUAACUGUUUAACAAAAACAUUUCUUUAUGAUUGAAUAUAAAGUAAAGUCUGCCCACUGAAUUAUAUUUAAAGGGCUGCAGUAUAUUGACUGUGCAAAGGUAGCAUAAUAAUUAGUUUUUUAAUUGAAAACUAGAAUGAAUGAUUUAAUAAAAAAUAAGCUUUUUUUUAUUUUAUAAAUUGAAAUUUAUUUUUAGUGAAAAAUCUAAAAUUUUUUUAAAAGACGAGAAGACCCUAUAGAUUUUUAUAUUUUACUUUAUUUAAAAUAAAAUAAAAUAUUUGAUUGGGGUGAUUAUAAAAUUAAAUUAACUUUUAUUUAUUUAUUACAUUAAUUUAUGAAUAGUAGAUUUUAAUAAUAAAUUUUUAAAAUAAGUUACCUUAGGGAUAACAGCGUAAUUUUAUAUUUAAGUUCUUAUUGGAUAUAGUGAUUGCGACCUCGAUGUUGAAUUAAGAUUAAUAUUAAAUGCAAAAGUUUAAUUGAAUAGUCUGUUCGACUAAUAAUUUCUUACAUGAUUUGAGUUCAGACCGGCGUGAGCCAGGUUGGUUUCUAUCUUUAAAAUUAAAAUUUAAUAUUAGUACGAAAGGAUUAUAUUAAAAAUUUUUUAUUUUAUUAUGAAUUUUAUUAAUAGA
rnacentral:rRNA from 1 species